CCUACGGGUGGCAGCAGUGGGGAAUAUUGGACAAUGGGGGGAACCCUGAUCCAGCGAAGCCGCGUGAGUGAAGAAGGAUUUCGGGAUGUAAAGCUCUAUCAGCAGGGAAGAAAAGGACGGUACCUGACAAAGAAGCCACGGCUAACUACGGGAGAGCAGCCGCGGUAAUACGUAGGGGGCAAGCGUUAUCCGGAUUUACUGGGUGUAAAGGGAGCGGAGACGGUGCUGCAAGUCUGUUGUGAAAGGUCGGGGCCCAACCCCGGGACUGCAUUGGAAACUGUUGAACUGGAGUACAGUAGAGGUCAGCGGACUUCCUAGUGUAGCGGUGAAAUGCGUAGAUCUUAGGAGGAACACCAGUGGCGAAGGCGGCUUACUGGACUGUACCUGACGUUGAGGCUCGAAAGCGUGGGGAGCAAACAGGAUUAGAUACCCCUGUAGUC
rnacentral:rRNA from 1 species